rnacentral:ncRNA from 1 species
ACCGAUUUGGUCCUAGUCCUAUUCUUGAUUCUUUCUAAAAUGAUACAUGCUAGUCCCUAACACCACGGUGAGUUAAUUUGGAAUAUCAUUCUUCUAAAAGUAAUCAUUCCAUUAAGGUAUCAGGUUUAUACCAUAAACCCACUACACCAAGUAAUCCACACCUGCAGUACUAAAUAUUAUACAAUAAGCACACGCUUGAUAUAGUUAUAGAAAAAAGGGCUGGUAAAUUAUGUGCCAGCCACCGCGGUUAUACAUAAAACCCCAAUCAAGAACCCCCGGUCUAAAAGUGGUUAAAAAUUUAUAAAAAUAUAAGGAAAAACUAACUCUAGUAGUAAUAAGCUUCACAGAAAGGUUAACCACUAAUUAAUCACCUUAUGUCAUAUUUACACCCUCAUUUUUGAAGCCACCAGAGCUCUAACCUAAACUGGGAUUAGAUACCCCAUUAUAUGAGCUAUAAAAACAAAAUACCUGAGAACUACGAACUAAAGUNNNNNNNNNNNNNNNNNNNNNNNNUUUUUAGAUCUACCUGGAGGAGCUUGCUAUCUAACCGAUAACCCACGAUAAACCUUACCAGCCUUAGAAAAAUCCAACUUGUAUACCAUCGUCGUCAGUCUACUUCUCAAGAAAGUAUACACAAUGAAAAAUUUCUUCUUUACGUCAGAUCGAGGUGCAGUUCAUAAGCUGGGGAUAAGUGAGCUACAAUAAUUAAACCAUAAACCUAAUUUUGAACAACUUUAUGAAAAUAAAAGUUUGAAACAGGAUUCAGAAGUAAUUCCCAUCAGAAAAUGGUAAUAAACAACUAAGCUCUAAAAUGCGCACACAUCGCCCGUCACUCUCGUCCACAGAGGAGAAAAGUCGUAACAUAGUAGGCGUAUUGGAAAAUGUGCCUGGAAUUAAA